GUACUCGCUUCAGCAGCACAUAUACUAAAAUUGGAAUGAUACAGAGAAGAUUAGCAUGGUCCCUGCGCAACGAUGACACUCAAUUCCAGCUGCUCCCCUUCUGA